GCGGGUGUGGAAAAGUGUGGUGGUGCCUCCUUAAGCUAAAGCCAGGGUUACCAUGUGACCCAGCAACUCCACCAAGGGAACGGAAGACACAGGGACUCAAUCCGUGCCCGUCACGCACACGGCAGCACUACCCACAGCAACAACGGGUGGCAACAACCCAAACGUCCACCAACAAAGGAUAAACAAAACGCGGUCUACGCACGCAAAGGAGUACCAUUUGGCCACACGGUGACGCUCUGACACGUGCCACAACAUGGUGAACCUGGAGGACAUGACGCUAGGUGAAACAGGCCAGUCCGAGAAGAUCCCAUGGUGUGUGACUCCACUCACAGGAAAUACCCACAAUAGGCAAAUUCACAAACGGAAAGCAGAGCAGAAGUUACUAGGGGCUGGGGAAAGGACCAUGGGGAGUCACCGCUUAACGGAUCCAGAGUUUCCGUUCAGGGUGAUGGAAAAGUUCCGGAAACACUGACGAUGGUUGCACGACACCACAGAGGUAAUCCUGCGUACCGGACAGCGUCGUGCACUUAAAACCGGUGAAGACGAGGUGCACCGAUGGAAGCCCUGAGACCUGGAGAGCCCUGCUGCUGCCAUGGCAACCGUGAAGUCUGGGAAGGGAGAGCCUGCCUGCACACCCCACACAGCCUCCAGGGCUUUCCCGGGCUCUGUGACUGGAGCCCCCUUCUCUGUCCCCCCAAGUGUUCCCCAGGCCUGGGAAAGGGUUUCUGCAAACAUUUUCCACGGUGGAACAGCACGGGCCCUUCCCAUGUGCCUUCACUGUCCUCCUUUGCAUCUGAGGUGCCUUCGAUCCUGUCCCCCUCCUCCCAAGGUUUGUGAGGGUAGACGACAGCCGUCAGACCCAAGUCCGCAGUGCUCUGGGUCGCUGAAUUCUGGGGCUAGUGUUCUCAACCAUUAGUGACUUUCCGUAGCUCGGCGCGUCCCAGAGCCAAUCAUAGGGAUCACCCAGGCAUGUAUUACAAGUGAUGAUUCCCAGGGGCGCCUGGGUGGUUCAGUUGUUUAAGCAUCUGACUUCAGCUCAGGUCAUGAUCUCAUGGUUCGUGGGUUCGAGCCCCACGUCGGGCUCUGUGCUGACAGCUCAGAGCCUGGACCCUGCUUCACAUUCUGUGUCUCCCUCUCUCUCUGACCUUCCCCCAUUCAUGCUCUGUCUCUCUCUGCCUCAAAAAUGAAUAAACGUUAAAAAAAAUUUUUU